rnacentral:misc_RNA from 1 species
UUAACUAUUGUAUAGUACUCAGACGACACUGACAUCCAGAGUUUGCGGGCCUUUGGCGGGCGGGCAGGGCCCGGCGCCCCGCCAAAGCAACGACGGUAACGAUAACAAUGGGUGGGAGAUCUACCCGGUAGGGCGAGAACUCUGUAAUGAUCCUUCCGCAGGUUCACCUACGGAGA